ACGUGAGUAACCUGCCCUUGACUUUGGGAUAACUUCAGGAAACUGGGGCUAAUACCGGAUAGGAGCUCCUGCUGCAUGGUGGGGGUUGGAAAGUUUCGGCGGUUGGGGAUGGACUCGCGGCUUAUCAGCUUGUUGGUGGGGUAGUGGCUUACCAAGGCUUUGACGGGUAGCCGGCCUGAGAGGGUGACCGGCCACAUUGGGACUGAGAUACGGCCCAGACUCCUACGGGAGGCAGCAGUGGGGAAUAUUGCACAAUGGGCGGAAGCCUGAUGCAGCAACGCCGCGUGCGGGAUGACGGCC
rnacentral:rRNA from 1 species